AGGGCACCAUCAGGAGUGGAGCCUGCGGCUUAAUUUGACUCAACACGGGAAACCUCACCCGGCCCGGACACGGACAGGAUUGACAGAUCGAUAGCUCUUUCUCGAUUCCGUGGGUGGUGGUGCAUGGCCGUUCUUAGUUGGUGGAGCGAUUUGUCUGGUUAAUUCCGAUAACGAACGAGACUCUGGCAUGCUAACUAGUUACGCGACCCCCCGAGCGGUCGGCGUCCCCCAACUUCUUAGAGGGACAAGUGGCGUUCAGCCACCCGAGAUUGAGCAAUAACAGGUCUGUGAUGCCCUUAGAUGUCCGGGGCUGCACGCGCGCUACACUGACUGGCUCAGCGUGUGCCUACCCUACGCUGGCAGGCGCGGGUAACCCGUUGAACCCCAUUCGUGAUGGGGAUCGGGGAUUGCAAUUAUUCCCCAUGAACGAGGAAUUCCCAGUAAGUGCGGGUCAUAAGCUUGCGUUGAUUAAGUCCCUGCCCUUUGUACACACCGCCCGUCGCUACUAUCGAUUGGAUG
rnacentral:rRNA from 1 species